UACUAGCCCCGAUUGCAGCAAUUGUAUGAGCUCAUUUUUCUUUUGUAAAAGAAAAAUAGCGAGUGCGGAAAGCGGGAUUAAGC
rnacentral:sRNA from 1 species